rnacentral:rRNA from 1 species
AAUGAACGUUAGCGGCGCGCCUGAUGCAUGCAAGUCGAACGACCAAGUUUUCCGUAAGGAAAACAAGGGAGUGGCAAACGGCUGAGUAACACGUAAGUAACCUACCUUUAAGUGGGGAAUAACUUGUCGAAAGGCAGGCUAAUUCCGUAUGUGCUGAUAAGCGAAUGUUUUUCAGUAAAGCCUCCGGGCGCUUGAAGAAGGGCUUGCGUCUGAUUAGCUAGUUGGUGGGGUAACGGCUUACCAAGGCGAUGAUCAGUAGCUGGUCUUAGAGGACGACCAGCCAGACAGGGACUGCGACACGGCCCUGACUCCUACGGGAGGCAGCAGCAAGGAAUUUUGCGCAAUGGGCGAAAGCCUGACGCAGCGACGCCGCGUGGGGGAUGAAGGCCUUCGGGUUGUAAAGCACUUUUGUCCGGAAAGAAAUGGCUCUGGUUAAUACCUGGGGUCGAUGACGGUACCGGAAGAAUAAGGACCGGCUAACUACGUGCCAGCCGCCGCUGUAA